rnacentral:rRNA from 1 species
GUCCACGCCGUAAACGAUGAGCACUAGGUGUCGCGGGUAUUGACCCCUGCGGUGCCGACGCUAACGCAUUAAGUGCUCCGCCUGGGGAAUACGGCCGCAAGGUUAAAACUCAAAGGAAUUGACGGGGGCCCCGCACAAGCGGUGGAGCAUGUGGUUCAAUUCGACGCAACGCGAAGAACCUUACCUGGGCUAGACAACGGAGGACCGCCUCAGAGAUGAGGUUUUCCCUUCGGGGACUUCCGGUUCAGGUGCUGCAUGGCUGUCGU